rnacentral:hammerhead_ribozyme from 1 species
AUCCGGCCGACGAGUACCAAAUAGGACGAAAUGCGCACCCCGGAU